UACGUAGGGGGCAAGCGUUGUCCGGAUUUAUUGGGCGUAAAGAGCGUGUAGGCGGCCAGACAAGUCUGCUGUGAAAACUCGAGGCUCAACCUCGAGCUGUCGGUGGAAACUGUCUGGCUAGAGUCCGGAAGAGGAGAGUGGAAUUCCUGGUGUAGCGGUGAAAUGCGCAGAUAUCAGGAAGAACACCCGUGGCGAAGGCGGCAUUCUGGACCGACAUUGACGCUGAGGAGCGAAAGCCAGGGGAGCAAACGGG
rnacentral:rRNA from 1 species